UGGUGCUACCUGAUGGUGGGGUUCUAUCUGCAUUCCAGGCUAUACAUCUCUGAGAAAUGUGGAAACAUGAAGUUGCUCUGCUGGUUUGCCUAUAUUGUACUGAUGUGGAAAUGUGAAGAACUGAAGACUGAAACCAAAACUUAUGGAUUCCUCCACCUCUAAUUCUUAGAAGUGUUGGAUUAAGCCUUCAUACGAGCAAAGAGGACAGCUGAGCUACCAAGGGAACCACUGUUGUCCCCAAAUCUUGACUAACUUGCCUUUUGUUUUCAAGUAAACAGUCUGCAUGUGCACUGUAAGAGCCAGAGAAGAUAAGAGCAGAACCUAUAACAUUCAACUACUGCAGCAAGCUAGCGGGGCUCCAAGAUGACACUUGAAAGAAAAUGUUCAGAUGCAUCCAUGGGUUGCACCUGCACCAAUAAAAAGGGUGUUAUUUUUUUAAA